AUUGAACGCUGGCGGCAUGCCUUACACAUGCAAGUCGAACGGCAGCACGGGAGCAAUCCUGGUGGCGAGUGGCGAACGGGUGAGUAAUAUAUCGGAACGUGCCCAGUCGUGGGGGAUAACGCAGCGAAAGCUGUGCUAAUACCGCAUACGAUCUAAGGAUGAAAGCGGGGGAUCGCAAGACCUCGCGCGAUUGGAGCGGCCGAUAUCAGAUUAGCUAGUUGGUGGGGUAAAGGCCCACCAAGGCGACGAUCUGUAGCUGGGCUGGGAGGACGACCGGCCACACUGGAACUGAGACACGGUCCAGACCCCUACGGGAGGCAGCAGUGGGGAAUUUUGGGCAAUGGGCGCAAGCCUGAUCCAGCAAUGCCGCGUGCAGGAUGUAGGCCUUCGGGUUGUAAACUGCUUUUGUACGGAACGAAACGGCCCUUUCUAAUACAGGGGGCUAAUGACGGUACCGUAAGAAUAAGCACCGGCUAACUACGUGCCAGCAGCCGCCGUAACAC
rnacentral:rRNA from 1 species